rnacentral:miRNA from 1 species
GUCUAUGGCCAUACAACCUUGAACACGCCCGCUCUUGUCUGAUCUCGGAACCUAAGCAGGGUCGGGCCUGGUUAGU